rnacentral:rRNA from 1 species
GAUGAACGCUGGCGGCGUGCCUAACACAUGCAAGUCGAGCGGGAUCUCCAAUGAAACUUCGGUCGAAUGAAGGAAGUGAGAGCGGCGGACGGGUGAGUAACGCGUAGGCAACCUGCCCCUUGCAGAGGGAUAGCCACUGGAAACGGUGAUUAAAACCUCAUAAUGCCACUUUAAGACAUCUUUUGGUGGCCAAAGAUUUAUCGGCAAGGGAUGGGCCUGCGUCUGAUUAGCUAGUUGGUGGGGUAACGGCCUACCAAGGCGACGAUCAGUAGCCGACCUGAGAGGGUGAUCGGCCACAUUGGAACUGAGACACGGUCCAAACUCCUACGGGAGGCAGCAGUGGGAAUAUUGCACAAUGGGCGAAAGCCUGAUGCAGCAACGCCGCGUGAGUGAAGAAGGUCUUCGGAUUGUAAAACUCUGUCCUUGGGGAAGAAUAAAUGACGGUACCCUUGGAGGAAGCCCCGGCUAACUACGUG